rnacentral:lncRNA from 1 species
ACAUUCACAUUGUAAAACCCCCCAAACAGUAAUUGAACUGCAAGAGUAUCAUCUCAAGUUUAACUCUCAUUCAUGGUGACAUAUUCCAUGACCAAGAUGAACCAAUUAAUUCAAAACCAAUAAACAACCAAAUUAAGACUCAAGGCGAGACUUCACAAUGAAACCAAUAAACAACCAAAUUAAGACUCAAGGCGAGACUUCACAAUGAAAUUCUGGUGACUAAUAGGAUUCAUGACGACUGGAGGACCAGCAGUGCGAGGCCAUGCAUUAAACUUCUUGUCAGUCUCUUCUUGCCAUGCCGGGUUUGAAGCUGUGGCACACACAGUACCU